rnacentral:rRNA from 1 species
GCAGGGGGGAAUCUUGCGCAAUGGGGGGAACCUGACGCAGCGACGCCGCGUGCGGGACGGAGGCCUUCGGGUCGUAAACCGCUUUCAGCAGGGAAGAGUCAAGACUGUACCUGCAGAAGAAGCCCCGGCUAACUACGUGCCAGCAGCCGCGGUAAUACGUAGGGGGCGAGCGUUAUCCGGAUUCAUUGGGCGUAAAGCGCGCGUAGGCGGCCCGGCAGGCCGGGGGUCGAAGCGGGGGGCUCAACCCCCCGAAGCCCCCGGAACCUCCGCGGCUUGGGUCCGGUAGGGGAGGGUGGAACACCGGGUGUAGCGGUGGAAUGCGCAGAUAUCGGGUGGAACACCGGUGGCGAAGGCGGCCCUCUGGGCCGAGACCGACGCUGAGGCGCGAAAGCUGGGGGAGCGAACAGGAUUAGAUACCCUGGUAGUCCCAGCCGUAAACGAUGGACGCUAGGUGUGGGGGGACGAUCCCCCCGUGCCGCAGCCAACGCAUUAAGCGUCCCGCCUGGGGAGUACGGCCGCAAGGCUAAAACUCAAAGGAAUUGACGGGGGCCCGCACAAGCAGCGGAGCAUGUGGCUUAAUUCGAAGCAACGCGAAGAACCUUACCAGGGCUUGACAUAUGGGUGAAGCGGGGGAGACCCCGUGGCCGAGAGGAGCCCAUACAGGUGGUGCAUGGCUGUCGUCAGCUCGUGUCGUGAGAUGUUGGGUUAAGUCCCGCAACGAGCGCAACCCCCGCCGCGUGUUGCCAUCGGGUGAUGCCGGGAACCCACGCGGGACCGCCGCCGUCAAGGCGGAGGAGGGCGGGGACGACGUCAAGUCAUCAUGCCCCUUAUGCCCUGGGCUGCACACGUGCUACAAUGGCCGGUACAGAGGGAUGCCACCCCGCGAGGGGGAGCGGAUCCCGGAAAGCCGGCCCCAGUUCGGAUUGGGGGCUGCAACCCGCCCCCAUGAAGUCGGAGUUGCUAGUAAUCGCGGAUCAGCAUGCCGCGGUGAAUGCGUUCCCGGGCCUUGUACACACCGC